rnacentral:sRNA from 1 species
AAAAAAUUAAUAAUAUAUACUGCUACUAAUACAUCAUAAAUGUUACCAGUCAAACAUUUUAUGAAAAAUGUUAACUCAUAUUUCUACAGCAAAUUCACUACUUCAAUCUGCAGUUAUACCACAUAAUUUUUACUGCAAGUUACAUCAAAUUCUAACAUGUAUUGCAACUCAAUUUUGAUAACUCGUGUUACGAGUCGGAUGUAAUUAGAAACUAGGGAAGAAUUGGUUUCAUAUCAUGAUCUGUGUGAAACACUGAUAAACAAAUUAAUUCAUUGAUAAAUAGGUUUAGGAGAAUUCAUGCAUUCGUUGAUUAAAAUUUAUUGAAUGUGUAUUACGGUGUACUAAUAUAGAAUUUUCUAUUUGUCAAAGUGUUUGCUAUACAAAUUGAAAGUUUUGGAAACAAACAAUUUUACACGUUAAUUAACUCAUGAUCAUCCAAUUAAUUAUAUAAAAUAAAUAGAUUUAUGUCUAAUAUAUU